rnacentral:lncRNA from 1 species
GGGGCAGGACUAAAUUGCAGCUCACACUCAGACAGAGCAGCAUGUGAAGACUCACAUCAUAAACUUUUGCUUCAAGAAGUACCCCAGGAAUAUACCAGGAAAGCCGAGAGAAUCCAUAGACACUUUGAUGGAAGUGGAUUGCUCCUACAGGCCCCAGGAGACACUGAAAAACUAGAAAGAGUUGGGGAAGAACAUCUCAUGCAGAAAGAGCACAAGAACACUCUCUUUGAAAGUCCAGAGGCUGUUUUCAACCUUAAUUUUUCCCUAAGGCAUCACAGACCUCUAAGACAUCUUGGUUUGAUCUGUGCAAAUGUAAGACAUAGUUAUAAAUUAGAUAGUGAAUACAUUUUGCAGUUGUUAAAAAUGGAUUCUUUGGCAUGCAAAUAAACCCAGCCUCCUCAAUCAUAUGUAUGACAAGACAAUUUCUGGAGGUGCUAGCUCUUUCAAGGAUUAAAGCACUAUAUCAAUAUUUUUUUAUACGCUGAAAACCGGCACAAUUUUUUUUUUAAUUCAAGAUUAUUUUGUCAAACAACAUGAAAUGCUCUGAGUCAUAGGUCCUUUCUGGGUUAGAGUGUGGGAAAUCCUUAAAGAGAAUUUGUGAGCAGUCAAAACAGAGUAAGUUUCUCACCUAUAUUUGCAUUAAUUGCAUUUAAAAGCACUAUUUUGUUUUCAAUAAUACCUGAUGAGGAACCUUCCAGAGAGCAGUAGAAGGCCCAUUACAGGAAAGAUUCACUGAGUGAUUGGACAUUCUCUGAUACAAGUCUGAAUAUCUUGAGAUCUGUCUUCAAGGCUCAUGAAUGUGAAAUGGUAUCACAGCGCUAGGGUGACCCCCUGUCUGGUUUGCCCGGGAUUUUUUUGUGGUUUUAGCAUGAGAGGCUCUAUGUCCCAGGAAACUCCUCUGUCCCAGGCAAACUGCGAUAGUUGGUCACCAGACUGCAAUAAAGAUUGGCUUCCUGGGCAGCCUGUGCCAUCACAGGCUGUGUGAUGGCACAGGCUGACCAGUUCUUAGAAGAGUCCCAUGCUUGGUUUAGUGCUUUGCUUUUGCUGUUUUGAAGUUUGUAAAUGUUUGAACAAAAGGUCCUACAUUUUCCCUUUUCUCUGGGCCCUACAAUUUAUGUAGCUGGUUCUAUCUUGACUUAGUAUUUACUGAGCUUUUACUAUGUAUCAGGCACUGAACAAAUGUCCUUGUAUUAGUUCAUCUAAUACCUAACUCUAAAAAGGGAGUUAUAAUGUACUAGUUUUACAGAUGAAGAAACUAUUGAUGUUAAGCAAUUUAACAAGAUAGUUAACUCACAGGAACAUAAAUUCACAUUAAGAACUGCUGACCCCAAGUCCCUUGAGCUUUCUGCUCUGCUGUGCUGAGGCUUAAAUAGCACCCUGCAGUGGGGAUAGGCACCAUCAGGUUCCAUCUUAGGAAGUUAUUGAUUUUGCUGAUCCCAGAUGGUCAAGUAUUGGCAACUUUGUAGAGUUCAAACUCAUAAUAAACCAUGUUAAAAAUCGCCACUGCUUUAGACAUGAGCUAUACCCCCUCCUAUCUUAGCCUUUCUACAAUUUGUCUUUGACCUGGCAGCUGACAUCGUUUUUAUUAUUUCUUCCUUCAGAUUUUCCUUGAAAUAAAGGUGGUAUGUAUGUAUGGGACCUGGCAUGAGGCAAGAUUGGAAUUCACAAUU